rnacentral:lncRNA from 1 species
UUUUAUGAUGUGUGGACGUUCAAUUAAUGAGAUCAUAAUUGUAUUUAGGUUGUAAUAGUUUGUUUUUAAAAUAAACAAUGUUAGCAUGAUGUUGCAAAAAGGAAAACAGAUAACUGAAAUAAAAUAUCAAAUAUUGGAAUUUCAUUUGGAAAUCAAGUAUGUUGAUGACCUAAAAGAUGUAGUGAUCCAAAUUAUCGUAGUAGGUCACUAGAAAAUAUGAUAGAUAAAAAAAUCAACUCGAUUGACCAAACAAGAGUUGAUUAAUCGGAGAACAAGAGAGGUUAAUUGAUAUCGAUUUACGCAAAAUUUGAAAUAAAAAAUUUAAAAAACAAUUCAAAGUAUUAGAUGGACUUUUAUUCGUACGUUGAUCAUAGUCAAUUAUGUGGUGGAUUAGUCGAAAAAUCAAAAAUAUAUUUGUCACCUAACAUUUGAGAUAUUUUUGAAACAAAAAUGGAGGGGAUAUUAUUUUUUAUAAUUUUACCAAAAUUUUGUUUUAUGGUUGGAUAAAACCCUUCAAAAACCCCUUACACACAAAGGUAGUAAAUUAUAAUUUUUCUCCAAAAUGGGCUAAAUUCGUAAAUAAAUGAUAAAAGAAAGAGAAGAAGAAGAAGAAGAAGAAAAGCCCCUAAACCCUUUCUCUCUCUUCUUCUCCUUCUCCUCCUCUCAUAUAUCUUUUUUGCCGCCACGCCUCUCAGGCCGCCACGCCUCUCAGGCCGCCACGCCAACCACGAAUCGCCUUCGAUGUAUGUCUGAAUCAAAUGUUUCUUUCUUUUAUUUGUUAUUUUGUCGAUUCAAGAAUCGUUAACUAGUAAAUUUUGAGUGAUUCUAAUGGUUUCCUUUUUGUAUUUGUUCUUUUCAUGGACGGACCUGACCCUUCUUUGCCCUUGUUUCCUUAUUCAGCGUGUAUUGCUUCAACCGCUGAAGCCGCCCCCAGUACCGACGGAAAAUAAGUCUCCGCCGUCGUCCAUUGCUGUCGGACUGUAAUUCCCGAAGCCAUUUCCUUUCUGUUCAGGUUCUUCGGAUUAAUAUCUUGAAAUUUGGAGUUCUUCGAUGGAAUCAAUGGCGGACGACACGAAAUCUGUUGAAUUAGAAGAAAACCAUUACGCAAGCUCACAGUCUCCAGCGAAGAAGAAGAAGAAGAGUGAAAAGAAGAAGAAACGAGUUCUAUCAAUGGAUGCUAAAAUCCAAGUUCUCAGCAACCAGCCUCAGAAAACUCCGCCGGUAGUUGGUUAUUUCCCGUCUGGGUUUGAUCCUCACAAGGAUGCUGACAAGGAACAGUCCCGUUCUGUAAGGGCUAGGGUUUAUAAGCACAAGAACAGACCAAAUAGGAUGCAGCUGGUUGUGAGUCCAACAGGGUCGAAUGUGGAUUUUGUUGGUACCAAUUAUUUAGGCGAGGCUACCGCUGGGAAACAGCAUUGCACCUAUGCUCUCGGUGUUCUUGAUAAGGCCACCCAAAGCUUAAAGAUAGUGCCUAUUGCAUCGAAUAUGGUACAUUAUUCCUCAUAGUGAAUGUAGAGAAUUAGGAUUUGUGAAAUUUUGAAUUCUACUUGUUGCAUUUUUGUUUUUGUAUACUCAAUUUAUAAACGCCUCUUCUUGUUCUUCAUCAUUAUUUAUUUACAUAUCAUCAAAUUUUUAGUAUUUUUUCUUUUGAAUGAAUUGGGCUCCUAGAUCUGCUUUUCUUGAUCUUUUCUGGAAAAACCACUAAACAGGGUGUGAGCUGUUUUCAUCAAGCUGGGAGAUUACACCACUGAAGUUUCUGAACGAUUAUGUUUGUGCUAUUUGUGAACUUUGUUGGAUACGGUUUUUUUUUUUCCCACUUUUUUUCAAACUUACUACAUAAAUUUUUAGAAAUGGGCUUACCUUUGUGAUGCAUUUUAUCUACCCCACUAAUUGUUAAUGCUGUAACAAAUGAUCAUAAUUGUGUUGCUAAGUUUGAUAUUUAUGUCUGCAGAUAUUUAGAUUAGACCCAAAAGUCAGAGGUUCAGACGUUACUGAAAAUGAAUCCCCGAGUGUGGCAAAUGAAGAGCUCUCUGGGCAGGACAAAGCUAAUAGAAUGAGAGAGCUCACCGCACUCUAUGGAACAAAGAAGUCAAAAAAACAGGUAGAAAUUGAAUACUGGAAUUCUCUCUUUAGUACUUUAGCAACCAACUUUCCCUUGGGCAUGCUUGGAAUGAAUUUUUGACUGCCCAUGUUUGGGAUUGAUUUUAAAAAGAGUUUAAAUUGUUCCGAAACACAUCAUUAAUCACAUUAUCAUAUCAUCAAAAUUGGUUUUGAACUAUGAAAAACAUGUUUUAAGAAUAGUUUUGAAAAUCACAAAAGCGAUAUAAAAUAUUUUAAAGUCACUUUCAAACAUGGACUUAGUAUCAAACAUGGACUUGUUAAUUUGUUGCAGGCACAGAAGCUGCAUGCGUUGAAACAAGAGGAUGAUCCUGAAACCAAGAGCGAUCUAGAUGGGAGAAUGAAAAAUGUGGUGGUAAACAAAGAGGCCUUGGAAGGUACGCAGGCAGAGGUUGCUCGUAAUAUACCAGCAUAUAAUGCUUCUGCAACUACUCCACAAGAAGCUUACCCGCUCGAUAAGAUUAUCCUCAAGGGAGAAUGGAGUUUUCUGGAAGAUCUUUAUUUCCGUUUGCAAGAAACAGCUGAAAUAAGUGCUACUUAUCCAUCCUUUGUUCGCAACAGAAUUUAUAAAUUGCAAGAUAUUCAGGUAUGGUGUCAAGAAGUUUCUACUUGUAAUUACCUUUAUGAAUAUUCUGAGAUUACAUAUUCAUCCUUUCUGAUACGUAUUCAUGAAUCAUGUGGAUGGCCAAUAUUAUUUGUUAAGUAUCAUGCCUCAUUUGUUGGUUGAUUGAUGUUUUCAAUCCGGAAUGCCUACGUGCCUUUUGAAACUACUUGACUUCUUUGUUUGUGUACGUUAUUUGAUUCUUUGCCUUCAUUUUUUUUUUGUGGAAAAAGAGCUUGCUCUCAAGUCUUGACAACUAACAAGCAUUUGUUAUUGAUUCAGUAUAAAUUCUUUCAGUAGGUGUACUUGUCGAUUUCUGAAACAAGUAUUAUUAUUUUUCAUUAAUUUGUAUUGAAUCUUUUUUUUUAUGUUAAAAUCAUCUUAGGACGAGGAAGAGAAAAAGAAGCUCUGCUGCAUAUUUUCAUAUAUCACUCAUCUGAUAAAGUAUAAGGAUCAGCAUUCUAUGGGUGAUGUUUCUUCUGCAAAGGGUCAUAAAAUUCCCAGCAUGCUACGCCAAAAGUUCUCAUCCAUGUUUCCGACCGCCGAGUCGAGAAGAUUGUCAGCUGAUAAAAUUAAUCUUCUCAUUAGCCACGUUUUGGUGCUUUCGCUAUUUGCGGAUGAAUUCAGCAGCGAUCCAGCAGACAUAGCAAAGGAUUUGAGAACUAGUCCUUACGAUCUAAGACUCCAUUUUGAUAAUUUGGGGUGCAAGUUUAUACGCAAGAACAACUUGUCAUUGGCUACACUUCCUAUUCCCCUUCAAUUUCCCGAGUUGAGGCAAAAGCGACGGCGAUAGGCGAGAUGGCUGGAUUGUAGAUGUUACACAUUUAUUGUUAUUGAAGAAGCUGAAUUCUUUUUAGGCAGCAAAGUUGGAGCAAUUUUGUGGAGUGAAACCGGUAAAUGGUCAUUUUUUGUAAUUCAGGUGUUAUUUCUUUCAUAUUGCAAAUGACGAUGCCGACUUGUUUCUUCUAUGAAGUACCUCUGCUUAGAAAGGUGUUACGUUAUUUGGAAGUUGAAACUUUGGAUCAUCAAAAACUAAUUUGGAAACAAGUCAAUUGACUUUUCUUUUUUCUCUUACAAAUUAUUGACGAUAGUUGAAUUUAACAUUCUCCUUCCAUGGUUUUUAUUCUCGAAAGUUGUAGGUUAAUGUUCAUUUUAUUGUUGAAAUUUCAAAAGCAACACUUUAUUCUCUCAAGUUUGAAAAAUGUUUCGAAAUGGUUGGUUCGGUUCAUUCAUUUUAUCGAUAUGUCAUAGUGUUAAUUCUAGGUUCAUUCAUUUUAUCGAUAUGUCAUAGUGUUAAUUCUAAUUUCAAAGUGAAUUGCAAGAAAGAAGAAAUUGUGUGAGAGGGAAACGAAAAAGUAAAAUGAAAACUACAUAAAAAUAAAUAUAAAGAAAACGACUAAUGAAGAAAACGACUAAUCAAGAAAACUAUUUAAAUUAAUCAUAAUUGCCUCAUCAACUUAAAUUUAUCACAUCAUAAGGAACUAUUAGAAGCCAUAAGGAACUAAUAGAAGAUAUACACUAAAAUGUUGUUUUUUUAUAGGCCAAAUAAACAUUUAUAGAUUUUUCUAAAUACAUGGAAUUUAAAAAUAAACAUAAAAUUUAAAAAUAAAGAUAGUUAAGGUAAAAAAACAUACAAUAUCGCAAAUGUAAAUAAUAUAAAUAUUAAAUAUUUAACUGCUUUAAAAACAUAAAAUAUGUAUUUAUUUAGUAAAAUCAAAAUUUCAUCCUUUUUUACGAAGUUUUUCAUUAUACAUCCACGUGGACAUGUUAUCAAAAUAUAUAUAUAUAUAUAUAUAUAUAUUCAAGAGUUUAACAUGAUAUUUUAACUUUUCAUUGAGAAUUAUUAACUCGUCAGGUUUAAUAGGAAUUAUAAAAAAAUAGCAAAAUUGAAAUUUUUUUUACCCCGAAAUAAAAAUGAAGUUUAAUAAAAUUUUGUUUUUAAGCGACCUUUUCUAAUUUUUUAAUGAAAAUUUUCAAUAUUUCUAUAUAUUUAAGAGUUCUACAUUUUUAUUAUAAGAUAUUUUAAAUUAUGAGCAUGGACAGAUUUAAAAUAUAGUAUAAAAUAUUUACAAUUUAAGCAUGAUAAAAUUUGGUCUUUUUAGUUAUUCUUUAUAUGGACUGUAAAUAAUGUAUUAUUAUUAUUAUUAUUUUGAAAGCGUAAAUUUAAAUUGGUAACUUCUUUUAAGUACUAAAUUAGAAUUAUUUUUCUAAAAAAAGAAAUGGAUAUAAUUAUAAGUUGGACUAUAUGUGGAUAUAUAUUUUUACUUAAAAGUAAAUUUAGAGUAAGUACAAAAAAGGUUUUUCCAAAAGUAGCGCUAAACUAUUAUUUUGUCAAAUAUUACAAUGUGAUAUUUAUAAUUAGAACUAAAAUAAUAUGGCCAGCGAGUUUUGGGAAAACAUAGCAUUGCAUAUUUGCAUUGGCGGGAAGACUCAACCGCUUCGCUAUCAGUUUAGAAAUUCCCCUUUACAGAGAGGUUAAGCUUCACAAUCUUCUUCAUAAACCCUAAUUUUAGCAUUCACAGAUUGGAUUUGAUGUUCUUAGCGAAUAAGAUGGUGUUCCUUUUCUUGUUUCUUCUCCCCAAAUUUAGUAAGACAAUCGUAAUCAAACCCACUCCCCACUCCCCUUUCCGCAACUUACCAUUUGUCCUCAUUUCCCCUCACCCUAUUCCAAUUCCGUCACCGGUGCCCUGUGGAGUUUUCGAGCUAUGGCGACUCCCAUGGCUGAAGAAGAAUCCUUCGAUUCCUAUUCCACCAACAAUACGGUGAUUGCGAUUAGUAGGGACAAGAACAGUCACUAUGCGGUUAAAUGGGCUGUGGAACAUUUGUUCAAUAGGAAGAACACUGGCGAAUGCGUUCUUAUUCAUGUUCGGACUCAGAGCUUGCAUCCCCGUAGGUAUCCGUCUCCCUUGUUGUUGACGUCGUUUGGCCGUCAUUAUUUCUUAAAAUUUGAAAUGUAUAUUGGUGUUUGGAGAUGAAUCAAUGAUUUCUUGUGAUCUUGCCUUUGUAUGCAGAGGAGGUGGAUACGAUUCCUAAGGAGUUUCGGCCACCAACUGAAGCUGAGUUGCACCAGUUCUUCCUUCCCUAUCGAGGAUUUUGCGCACGAAAAGGAGUAAACAAUUUCCCAAUUCUUUGUCAUAACCAAAUAAUGGAUAGUUCUUGUUUUUUUUGAUGCGAUGAUGAAUCAUUUAUGAAUUAGAUCAAAGUGUUAGCAAACACUCCUUGAAUAUUAUUAUUCUAUAAUAUUAGUUCGACAUAUAUCAAAUCAGGCACUAUGAGCAUGCCAUAUAGGACAUUGAGUUGGUUCUAGGAAACACUUCGAUUUAAUGAGGGUUAUUUCCUGCCGUAUUCAUCCAUAAAAUUCAUUUUAAGUCAGCUUGUUUAAAGGAAAUAUUUGUGUUUUUUGCAAUUUUCAGAUAGUUGCAAAGGAGAUAAUCAUCCAUGAUAUUGAUGUUCCAAAUGCACUUAUUGACCAUAUCAGUAAACACUCCAUUAGCAAUAUUGUUGUGGGUGCUUCCAACCGGAAUCCUAUUAUGAGGUUUGUCACUCUCGUUGCCUCGGUGGUACGGAAGAUUUAAUUUUAGUAGUGUAUUUAAGAAAUUAAUCUGAGCUAUUAGCAUCUGCAUUAAUGCAGGAAGCUCAAGAAUCCUGAUGUUGCAACGUGCUUACUCAAAUCAGCUCCAGAAUCAUGUUCUGUAUAUGUCAUAGCUAGAGGAAAAGUUCAUACGAAGAGGUUGAGGAAGCGAAAUAAGUCACAAACUGACAUGACAGAAACACAAACCGGAACUCCACGAAUCAGCGGGUCUUUAUCAAAAACACAAAAAUCAGCAUAUUCUAGUAUCUCUGGACAAUCUGAAGAUAAAUACAGGUAAAAAUUCAAAAUAUACAUUUUUUUGGUAUAUAGAACAUUCCACAACAUUCAUCUUUCUUAUAUAUGACAAAUUUAUUUGAUUAAACUUCUUUUUUUGCACCUUCCCUAAUUUCCUCUAUAGAUAGAAUUCUUAUCAUUAGCUGAUUGGGAUGCUGAUGCAGUGGCUCUCUGGAAUUGCAUACUUGAAAUGCAAUCCAAGACAAAGGGCUGAUGAAAUUUUCUCAGAAGUUUGAUUUCUAUGUCUUCUUUUUACUGGUUUGCUAAGACAAGCCUAAAUUUCUUUUUACGUUGCUCAUUCAGUGGUCUUUGUUUGCGUAGUCAUAGGAUAUGCAUACAGGAUUUUAAUGCUUUUCCCUCUUCAUUCUUGAUCAGUAGCUUUGGUUGCUGGCCUAGAACUGCCUUUAGAGGUGAUGGUUGUAAGUUGUAACCAUUGACUAAGAGCACUUUGUUUCAAUUGCAGGUAUAGUUCUGGCACCAGUAAUGAUUCAACGUCAGGAAUUAGUGACUUUUCGGGGCCUCUCAGUUUCAAAUCAAUUGAAACAUCCUUUGAGAACCAAGAUUUUUCCCUAAGUUCCUCAGAGACUAGUACGAGGAGCUAUGUUUCCUCUAGCACCCCAGUAAGUAAAAAUUAUUCAAUUUCUUGCCCAGCAAAGGAGCUGUCUAAUUUUGGUCAAUUAAUAGUUACAUUUAGAACAUCAUCUGUAUUUGAGUUUACAUUUGGGUGAUGAAUUUUUAUAAACUAUAUGUUAUGUAGUUAUAGAAAUGGACGAUUAACUAAAUAAGUUAGCUUAUCUGCAUUUGUAGCCUACAAUCGAAUAUGAGAUGAAAAAGUUGAGGUUUGAACUCAAAAAAAUGAUGGAAAUGUAUGACUCGGCUUGCAAGGAAGCUGCAGUAGCAAAACAGAAGGUAAGAACCGAUGACUAAAUUUUCUAUAUCAAAUGAUAUACUCGUAGUCUCAGAAGUUCUAGAUGGUACAUUGUUUGAAGCCUGUUGAUCCUGAAAGAAAAAUACUAUGUUUGAUGACUGAUAUCAGGCAAAAGAACUCCGACAUUUGAAGAUGGAAAAGGAAGAAGACAACAAAAUUGAGUGCGGUAAAUCUACUUAUGAGGCUCUAACAACAUUGGCUGAGUUUGAGAAGCAAAAGAACAAGGCUGAAGCAGAAGCAACUUUAGUGGCACAGAAGUUGGCUGAAUUAGAGACCCAGAAAAAACGAAUUAUUACUGAAGAAAAAGCUAGGAUUGAGGCAGAGGAGAGGAAGAAAACAAUGGAGUUAUUUGAACGCAGUAAUAUUUGUUAUAGACGAUUCAGCAUUGAUCAGAUCGAAGUUGCAACAGAUCAUUUUAACGAGUCAAACAAGAUUGGUGAAGGUGGCUAUGGACCUGUUUACCAAGCCUUACUUGAGCAUACUUCUGUUGCCAUUAAGAUCUUGAGACCGGAUAGAUCACAUGGGCAGCGACAAUUCCAGCAAGAGGUAAAUUUCCUUUUUCUCUGUUUAUCUUGGCUGGAAAUAAUUACACAGAAUUAUCAGCUAUGCAUAAGAUUCCUGUAAUAGUACAUCGUUUAGUUGGUUGCUACUUCGUUGUCACGAGCUGUAAUAACAUGAAACUGAAGAAGAAACAUAUAUUAUAAUAAACGACAUCAUGUAAAAUUUCACCCAUUUCAUACAUUCAGAAAGUUCCUGAAGGUUCGCUGUUUGUUGUUUGCAGAUCGAGGUUCUAAGCCGGAUGAGGCAUCCAAACAUGGUCCUCCUCUUAGGUGCCUGCCCAGAAUACGGUUGCCUUGUUUAUGAAUAUAUGGAAAAUGGGAGUUUGGAAGAUCGUCUCUUCCGAAAAGAUAACACUCCUCCAAUCCCUUGGAGAAUCCGCUUCAGGAUAGCUUGUGACAUUGCCACUGCCCUACUCUUCCUUCAUCAAAUGAAGCCAGAACCUGUGGUGCAUCGUGAUCUUAAGCCAGCCAACAUUCUCUUAGAUCACAACUAUGUGAGCAAAAUAGGUGACGUGGGUUUGGCCAGGCUAGUUCCACCGACGGUUGCUGAUAGUGUCACUCAAUAUCACAUGACUGCUGCAGCUGGAACCUUUUGUUACAUUGAUCCAGAAUAUCAACAAACAGGAAUGUUGGGUGUGAAAUCAGAUAUUUACUCAUUUGGUGUUCUUCUACUUCAGCUCAUCACUGCAAGGUCACCGAUGGGUCUUUCAUAUCAGGUCGAGGAGGCUAUUGAACAUGGCAAAUUUCCAGAGAUACUUGAUCCGACAAUAACAGAUUGGCCUAUUGAAGAUACUCUUGGACUUGCUCAAUUAGCCCUCAAGUGCUGUGAGCUAAGAAAAAGAGACAGGCCCGACCUUUGUACGGUUCUAAUGCCAGAACUGUCCAGGUUAAAAAAUCUGGGGUCGGGUGAAACACCACCGAAGAGCAAGCUCGCAACUGUCAGCAGAGCACAUGAUCAACAAGUCCUUAACUCGGCUCCAGUCUUGAAGGGAUCAGAAGGCGAGGUUAGUUUUCACUUAGCAUCUUAGUCCCUAAAUCAAAACUGCAAAUUGUUUGUUAAUGUGUAGAGUUUUAAAAAAAAGAGAAAAAAGGAAGUAUCAUCAUGAAAUGGAGAUGGGAAAUUGCAUGUUUAAAAUGUCAUGCUAAAGCUUGUGUGAAAAAGGUUGAACAAAAAAGUUUGGACAAUAUUUAUUGUUACCAGGCUUGGAACUUUUUUUACACAGGAGAAAAACCUUUGCAUUUAUAUGUGUUGCUUAUUAUGUAUAAUCAGGAAGGAAUGAGAAACAAUCCUAACCUGCCAAUGGAAAUUCAACGUAGAUCUAUGUGAGAAAAAGAUGGGAGCGAUUGAAAGUGAGUACGAGAUUUUGGAGCCAAAAGGGUGGUAUCGGUUUGAAUACCAUUUCUUCACAGAUAAAGAAAAAAUGGAGCAUACCAAGUAUACCAAUCAGUGGAAAACGAGUUGAUGGAUCGAAGAAGAAGCAGCAACCGCAGCAAAUCUCUGAACGUUGUUGGUCUUUUGGAAGUUGUGCUUCUGCUGCUACGUUGGGGUUCAAGAAACUGCAGUCUUUUUCAUAAUAAACAUGAGAUUUUUUCAACUUGUACUGUCUAAAUUUCAUUCUUGUUUUAGUAUUUGGGUUCUAUCUCACAAUCAUCUAAUCUCACUUGUGAAUGUCUGCAAAUUAAAUAUGGUGUUUGUUCUCACACACCCUUUUCCUUUCUCAAAAACUCAUUUGUAACUGUAUUUCAUUUCUUUACACUUGGGUUUUAUUCUAUUCAUUAUAAAUCAGCGGUCUUUCUAUUUCACAGAUGAAUCAAUUUUCAGGCUUAUUUGUUUCUUUCUUUUUCUUUUUAGUCUCUCUAGUUUUCUUUUAGUCGAUUUUGAUUGUAUCACAUUUGAACAAAAUAUGUCUUGGCCGCUAAUAUAUACUCAAUGACAGUUGAGUUAUGGUGGUUAGUUUAUCACGAAGAUACACAAUUUGAGGCAAGAACAUGACUAAAGAUAGUCGUACAUGUUAUCUAGGACGCUUAAAUCUCAGUCUUCUCUUAUUUAGUUUAGAGAUGACAACGUGUAAAUGACUCAUUUAUUAUUAUUAUUAUGCUUUGACUUGGAUGAUAAUGGUGCUAAAGAUUAUGUCAAUUUAAUGGGAAUAUUCAUGUGCACCUAUUAAUUUCUUACCAUUGGAUAAUUAAUUUUGUUGAAAAUAGCUAACAUUUUAAAAACAUGUUCCAAUGGCAAAAGUAAAUGAAUAUUAGGUCUCAUAACUAUGUGUAUUUAAACGAAAAAUAUAACAAACAUGUUAAAUAUUUAUAUUGUAUAAAAUAUUUUUUUAAACAUAAAAAAGUAUCAAAACUACUCCAAGUAACAUGCUAUACAUCGACCACAUGUGCGCGAUACACAAUAGCGUAGAGUGAUCGUGAUUUUGAUACACGAUCUCGGACAUACCCUGUCCCGAGAUAUUCCGAGAUGAAAGAAUUAUUCGUUUUGUUAUUAUAUCUCAGACCUUAAUGGCAUCGAGAUAGAAUAAUUUUUAUUUUAUUUUAUUCGAUCUCAGACCUACAUUGUCAUGAGAUAAAAUAUUUAUGUUUUUAGUUAUUCGAUAUCAAACUUUAAUUGCAUUUAGAUGGUUCAAGAUGAAAGAGCUCUACGUUUAUUUUAUUCAUCGCCCAUACAUUGCCCUUAAGAUUAAUUGCACUAAAAUAAUUUGAGAUUAAUAAAUCUCAACGAAGCUAUAAAUCGAAGGAGCAAAUAUGAAAUAUACGAAAAAAAUAAUUCUUUUUUUGUUAUAUCUAUGGUAAAUAUUUUGAGUUUUCAUUAUAUUUAUAUAAAUUGUUCUUUCAAAAAAUUAUUUUUAUUCUUAAAAAUUUGGCUGAGAUAUAUUUUUUUUAUUAUUUACUUAAAAGAAAGAGGGAAAGACUUGUAAAAAAUUGAAAAUGAAUAAACUUAAUUUUCCAAAAUCAAAACAGAAACCAAGAGGAUAACCAUUUUGUUUCGUUGGCUUAAAGCAUUACGUGAGACUAAAUUAAUCUGCGGCCUUACAAAACCGACUUUGUAGCUUACGUGUUUCGGUUCGGCUAAGUUGAGCCGCCCUAUAAGUAUGGUUUAACUCGGUCAACCGGAGAUACCAGAGACUGCUUGAAAGGUAAAAUCCGAACCGGCAAUCCGGUUUACCGGGCUAUGUACUGAACCGAGAAUCGGCGCGAUUCUUUUCCCGCAUAAAAUAGUGAGAAUCGCAUUUCUUAAGAAUCUCUCUCUCCGCUUCAAUUCUUUCUCUCUCUUGGAGAGAAUUGAGCGUAACCCUAAGCUUAGAACUCAAAUCAACCAUGGCGGUCCAUUCUUCCAAUCGCGAUACUGAUUCAGAGUUUGAUCAUAGCUCAUCCCAACCGCGUCUUUACAAUCCCUACAAGGAUCUCCAGGUUCCAUAUCGAAACUUCCAGCUUCCAACCUCCCCAGAGUUUCUUUUCGAUGAAGAAGCUCGCCGCCAGCGUCGAUCUUGGGGCGAGAAUCUCACCUUCUACACUGGUUGCGGUUACCUCGCCGGUGCAGUAGGAGGCGCGUCUACAGGACUUGUAUCCGGCGUUAAAUCUUUUGAAUCAGGUGAUACUAUGAAACUCCGGAUCAAUCGGAUCCUGAACUCGUCUGGUCAUUCGGGGCGUCUCUGGGGAAAUCGGCUUGGCGUGAUUGGGCUGCUAUAUGCGGGUUUGGAGAGCGGAAUUGAGGCUGUGAGGGAUACGGACGAUGUGUGGAACUGUGUUGCGGCCGGACUUGGUACUGGUGCGCUUUAUCGUGCAGCAAGAGGGGUAAGAUCGGCGGCGGUGGCUGGAGCUGUUGGCGGUGUCGUGGUUGGUUUGGCGGUGACGGGUAAGCAGAUGUUGAAGCGGUAUGUGCCGAUAUGAUGUGGGGAAAAGGAAUGUUUUUUUUUUUUGCAAUUUUGAUCGAUAUACUUCGUUUUAGGGAGUCAUAGUUUUAUAUGUGAAACUGUGAUGAGAAUGCUGAGGAUUGAAUUAACUAAUUCACUUGAUAUUUUCUAUACGAGUUUAACUCGUGCUUCUUCUUUGAGUGAUGUAAUUCGUCGAGUUCUCUGAUAAUGAAUAAUCUUCAAGAAUUUAGACUUGUGGUAUGGGAAUGAUCAAAUUAUUUCCAUUACUUCUGAUGAUUUGGUUGUAAGUAAUGAGAUUGUUUGAGGUUUGUUCGUUGUCGUAUCUCAUCAAUUAGUAACUUAUUGUUUGGCUGCUUCAAUAUAUAAUUUUCAAGUUUUUGAGAACAGAACACAGAUCCACGUUUGAUGCUUUCAUGGCUUGAUGGAGUACACAAGAUUUGUGAUUCCGUGGUCAAUGCUUGUCGAUAAUGGUGAAUUUUGUAGAAAAUUAUAAUGCCCCUUUUGAGCUUAGGUAUUCGGAUAGUCUUAUACGCCCUGUAUGAGCAAAUGAAUUCAACUUUAAUCUCUUAUCUGUUCACAUUCUAAUGGUGUUAAUAUGUGAGACUAUUCAAGGUUGUAACUUUUACCUAGCCAAAUCGCUGGUCAUCCUUGAUUCACCCGUUCCAAUCCUUUUGUUGUAGAGAACUUUUACCUUGCUUAUUCUUGACCAUUGUUUGAUCAUUAAACCAAAGCUCUUCAAAUGAAAUAUGUUUUGUUCUUCCAAGUUAACUUGAAAUCUUUGAUCGGAAUUUAGUUCAUCUUUGCAAAAGUUAGGCAUGUUUUUUGAUUUCAAUGAGAGGUGGUGGUAUUUUGAGCAGGGUCGUUUUGAAUGAUUAUGGUAUCUCUUGAGUGUGUUGCUAGUAGUUGGUUUAGUUACAAAUGAAAUGGUGUCUCUGCAGAGUAUAGAGUCUUGUGCUAUCUUGAUUUCUAUUACAAUAAAAGUCUUGGUAAAUGCCCCUUCAAAAAUGAUAUUGCACAUUGAUUGAACUCGGAAAAUUGCCAAAUAGGAAAAGUAUGCUUUAAAGCUCUCCGUACGCUACCCUUGAUUCUUUCAGCACUUGGUGCAUCAACAUCAUGAUCCUCGCAGGUGCAUUGCUUUUAUCGUUUCUCGUAGAUAUUUUACAUCAAGUUUAACUGUUUUUCGUUUUAGCAACAUUAACAGUUACAGGCAGUAAAUGAACUGGCAGGUCCUCCCGAAUUCCUACUCCACAAAUGUUCUCAUUGAGGCACAUUCUUUGUCUUCAUCAACCUGGUGGGAUAUUCUUCUUUAUCAUCCCAAGUGAAGCUAUAGAAAUGAUUGUCAUUGUAACAAAAAUUUCAUUGGAUUUGACUGGAUUUUGACAUAUGAACUACAGACAGUUUGGUAGCAAGUUGAGUAGAGGCAUUCAAUGUGACAAAAGGCAAAAUCAACUGUUUGCUGAGGUAUGUAAAAGGUUUCAAUGAGAUGUAAUAGCUUCUCCUCUGUUCAUAAAGCUCCAUUUAAAUCAUUUGAAGUUGAAGCUAUUCCUUUCCAUCGACCUUUUAAUCAAUCUUACAAGAUGGUUGAUUAAAAAAGAAAAUAAUGAUAUUUUAUAUCAGAAAGCACCCACCUGAAUUUUGAACACAGAAGAACCUUUGUAAGUUUUUAAGUAUGUUCUGUUCUACCACUUUUUUAAUUUAUGAACUUUCAAGUUUACUCUAUUGUAAACUUUCAAAAUGUCCAAAACGUCCAUAGUAAUUCUUGUAUUUUAGAGGUUGUUCCAUUUUAGUCUUUACUUCUGUUCUAGUUUUAACGGAUUAAUGACAAAGCUUUGAUUAUGCAUACUAACAUAUUUUGUUUCUUGCACUACAACGUUUGGUUGUCAAAGAAAUUUAUAGAAAAUUAAUUCAUAGAUAGUUGGUCACCGUAGAUUGAACUCAUAAUUUUUUCGUAAGUUCAUUUGAGUGUACUAACGUGUUAAUAUGAACAUUAACACGUAAAAUAACAUAAAUCAACUAAAAAGUUGAAAGAUUAUAAUAUACAUAAAAUUUUCGACCUAGCACCUCCUUUGGUGAGGAAAUUGAAAUUAGCUAUAGUAAAUAAUUCUACUUUAUAUUGUUGUUUUUGUUUAGGCACAAUUUUAAUAGCUAACAAAAUAUUGCCAAGAAUGGUGGCUACAAAAUAAUUAAUUAAUUAUGUUUUUAGUAAUAUUUAUAUUAAGUUUACAAUCAAAAGUUGAAAGAAUUUGGAUUAUAUUUUAUUUAAAUAAAUCAAACAAUUGAAUACUAAUUCACUUCAGAUAAUACAAGUUUUAUGUGUCCAUAACCUAAUGGGUGCUUAGAAUAUCUUUGAGAACAUAAUUGCAUUCCAAGUUUCGUUUUGUUGAGUUCUAACACACAUCAGGAAAAAAGAUGCAAUGAAUUAUACAUUAAAACUUAAAAAGUUAAAUUUAUUUAUAUUUCACAUAGCUGCUACUAUCAUAGAUUGUCCAACAAGUAAGAAAAAUCACAAUCAAAGUGAAAAGAACACACAAUCAAAAGGGAAAGUAUUUAGUGGAUGAUGACUAUUUACUUUAGAUUUAAGAAAUCUAAAUAAAUCUAAAAAAUGUUGAGAGAGAAUUUUUAUUUACUAGAAGUAAAAUUGGUUUAAUGUUUAUAUAAAAGAAUUUACAUAGUUAAAAAGAAGAGAAAAGAGAGAGAGAGAGAGAGAGAAGUACAUGCAAGAGAUUUGAUUUGGAAGGAGCACAUAAUAGGACAAGAGAAGGGUAAUUUCGGAAUUUGGCUCAAUUAUUCUUAGUCUAAGGGUUACACUACAAAAACCUAACAGCCUUCACAAAAAUUUCCCUCUUUCGCUCGCUGCGCUUUGCCCAAACACUCGCCUCCAACUCCACGGAUCAGAUCCGAAGAGUUUGGCAAACCCUAGCUUCCUCUCUUCAAUCUUCAUCUCUACCUUCUCUAACAAUCCACAGGUUUGUUUUCCCUUCCUUUCUCUUUCGAUUUUGCCUUCCACUUCUACUUAUUCAACUCCACGAAUAUGGUUGUAUGUACGUUUCCGCCUUCUUUUCAUAUCCCUUUUCUUGUUCCUUUAGCCUUGAACUACUCUGGGUUUUCUUUUUCUUGUUUCUUUUUUCUUUUAUUAUAUCUCAGGAUUUGACGCUAAUCUGGUCUGUGGUUGUGGGUUGAGUUCGUUUUUAUUCAUUUCUUGUUUGUUUGUUUAUGGCUAUGGUUUGUAAUUGUUUCUGUAAUCUACGUGAAUCUGUUUUUGCUUUAGAACGUUCUUGUUGUUCAACUCGUACAUGAAUCGUUGUCUACGCUUGGUUUGGGUUUUGUGGUUUUUUUUUUUUUCUUUCGAUAGUAUCUUGCUUUGGGAAAAGGUUAAUGCGGUGUCUGUUUUUUUUUUUCUGAGAGAAAAAGUUAUUAGAUAUCGUUUAAGUCCUUUUCCUACAUUGAGACAGAAGUUUAAUGCUUGUUCUCCUCUUUAUAUGGAUUGCAAGUUUGGCUUUUCUGUUACAGAUUUCCUUUCUCAGGAUAGCUUUUAACAAAUUUGUAAUGUUGUUCUAUUUAUUCCUUGGUGGGGUUGAUUAAAUGGUAAUGAUUUUUUGUUUGUUGGCGGCAUAGUUUUGGAUAUUUUUAUCUGUUUGGUCUGUGUUCAUAUUUUGCAUUGUUUUCCACUUACAGCUAUGGCAGGUUUAGCUCCAGAAGGAACCCAAUUUGAUUCUCGCCAAUACGAUGCUAAAAUGAAUGAGAUGUAAAGAUUUUUCUCUUAUUUCCCUUGUUUAUAUUUUUCCAUUGCGAUAUUUCCCUGCUUCAUGUUUGUGGACUUAUUCAGUUCUAUUUUCUUUCUCGAUGCAGUCUUUCAGCCGAAGGGCAGGAAUUUUUUACCUCAUACGAUGAAGUUUAUGAAAGUUUUGAUUCGAUGGGGCUGCAAGAGAACCUCCUCAGAGGCAUUUAUGCCUAUGGUAGAUACUUAUUUGCUUCAUUUUUUUUUUCUCUAUCAAUUAUGACUCUCUUUGGCCCAAAAUAUUUUUUUGUAGUUCCGUAUAUAAUUCCUGGAGUUUUCCUAAUUCUUUAAGGUUUUGAGAAACCUUCUGCAAUUCAGCAAAGAGGUAUAGUUCCCUUCUGCAAGGGCCUCGAUGUGAUUCAGCAGGCUCAAUCUGGAACUGGAAAAACUGCAACUUUCUGCUCUGGGAUACUUCAGCAACUUGAUUAUGGUCUAGUCCAGUGCCAGGCAUUAGUUUUGGCACCGACUAGGGAGCUGGCUCAACAAAUUGAGAAGGUUAUGAGAGCUCUUGGAGAUUAUCUUGGAGUUAAGGUUCAUGCUUGCGUGGGAGGGACAAGUGUCCGUGAGGAUCAACGCAUUCUUCAAGCUGGUGUUCAUGUAGUAGUUGGAACACCUGGUCGUGUGUUUGACAUGUUGAGGAGGCAGUCUCUUCGCCCAGAUUGUAUUAAGAUGUUUGUAUUGGAUGAAGCUGAUGAAAUGCUUUCUCGAGGUUUCAAAGACCAGGUGAAUUUCUCAUCUUGUUGCAAGCAUGUUAUUGAUGAACUAGCACUUUCAUAAUGAAUGUGUUUAAGUAGGCAGGAAAUCAGACAUGAAUAUUGUAUUAUUAGGUUCAUCAGUGCUGAAUUCGUUUCUUGUGCCUGCUGAAAGUCAGAUUCCUUAGCCUUGCUGCACGUUGGUAUUUUGUUCUAUUCAUUUAUCAUAGAAUUAAAGAUUUUUAAUUGUGUUCUAUGUUUUUUGUGUGGUGGUAGAUCUAUGAUAUUUUCCAGCUGUUGCCAUCAAAAAUUCAAGUUGGGGUAUUCUCAGCCACAAUGCCUCCGGAAGCUUUGGAGAUCACUAGGAAAUUCAUGAACAAGCCUGUCAGAAUCUUGGUAAAACGUGAUGAGCUUACUUUGGAAGGUAUCAAACAAUUUUACGUAAAUGUUGAUAAGGAAGAUUGGAAGCUUGAAACUCUAUGUGAUCUGUACGAGACUCUGGCUAUCACUCAAAGUGUCAUCUUUGUUAACACACGUCGCAAGGUUGAUUGGCUUACGGACAAGAUGAGAAGCCGUGAUCAUACCGUAUCGGCCACUCAUGGUGACAUGGACCAGAACACUCGUGAUAUAAUCAUGCGUGAAUUUCGUUCUGGGUCGUCUCGUGUUCUUAUCACAACUGACUUGUUAGCUCGUGGUAUCGAUGUUCAGCAAGUGUCCCUUGUCAUAAAUUAUGAUUUGCCGACCCAACCUGAAAAUUACCUCCAUCGAAUUGGUCGAAGUGGGCGUUUUGGAAGAAAGGGUGUUGCCAUCAAUUUUGUUACAAAUGAUGAUGAGAGAAUGCUUUUUGAUAUUCAGAAGUUCUAUAAUGUGGUCAUUGAGGAGCUGCCAGCCAAUGUUGCAGAUCUCCUAUGAUGAGGUUUUUGUUUGUUUUUGUUUUUGUUUUUGUUUAUAGGGAUGGGAUUUCUCUCUUAUCUCUGAAUGACACUCUUUAGCCUCCCCCCACUUGAACUUCUCUAUUUUUAUCUUCACUUUGUUUUCAUAUAUUAGUAUUGUCAAACUGACAUUUUGUUAAUGAUUUAUUUCCUGCUUUCUGUGCAAAGAUUGAGAUUGUGUCAAGUUUUGUUGCGUUUGAUCUUUGUAAAUCUUUAUAUUUCUUUAUUCUUUCUGAGGAAGAAGAUGCCUUCUGCUGUUUAUCCAAUACAGUUCCACUUGAUAAGAAUGGUGCUUUUAAUUUUAUUAUUAAAGUCAAUUAGUGGAUGAAUACUAUCCACUAGUAAACAACCUCGUGAUAACUACUAUUUUGAUAUCUUUUAUUUAUUUAUUUACAUGUGAUCUUGGUGUCUAAAGAGAUUCUUUUCUGUUUACUUUUUUUUCAUGACAGUGGUCAUUAUUCAUUUUAAUUUAUUCUAUCACAAAUCGUUGUUUAUUUUCUAUUAAACAUGGUUCAAGCUAACUUUAAAUUCAAAUGAUAAAACAAUUAUCCAAUUAUUGAAGUCGUGACAUUUUGGUAAUUCUAAAAUAUUUAGAUUCACUUUGUUCAUUCUCACAAUUACUCUACGUUUUUACAAUCUACAUGUUUGCGAAUAUCUUUAUAAAACUUGUUCUUAUCUUUUUCUUUCCAAGCAUCUUUCUAUGUCUUUUUUCUCACCUAUUUCAAAGAAGGUAAAAUUCAAGAUAUUUGAAGAUUUAAACAUCUUUAUUUCCUAAAAACAAAUUUGCUUGUAACAUACUACAGAUGUAUGUAGAAGUAAUCGUAACAUUAAAUUUACCUAUUAUCAAUUCGUUUUCCAUUAUGUUUCUUCUUCUUACCACCAUCAGAGGGUAAUGAUAAUUUGUUCGACCAAUCUAUUAGCAAAUGCACUCAUCUCCAGGGUAAGUCAUUUUCUAGGAAGCUAUAGGUUGAGUUUGAAACUAUGAUAAAGUGACACUUGUACUCCCUUCAAACAAGAACCUUAUACGCACCAUUAGUCAUUAAGCUUCAUCACAUAAACUCUGAUUUAUUUCACAUAACCAUUGAAGGGUGUUAGGAGUACUACACCAGCACACAACUGAUUUCUUGUAUGUACCUCCAAGUCACCUCUUUCUCUUUCAUCUUUGUUAGUCAUGAAUAACUUCGUCCUUUUAGCGAAGACAUAGACAACUUUCCAACCAAAAAUCUUAAUAUGAUAGUCUACUCACUAGGACUGUCUCCACAUUCCUUCACCAAUCAAACUUUAGCAGAAUGUCCUCCCAAGAACUCGUUACUAUAUUGAAGCCAAUACUCUUUUAUUUACUCCUUUAGGGGCCACCAUAAUUGAUGGCCAAAACCUUGGAUCAUUCAUCAAUUGGAAUGUGUUACCAAAGCCAGCCAAUGCCUAAGCUUAAUGGACCAUCUCACUUCACUGGCUUUAAAUGAAUGAACUAAAUGAAAGGUUGUGCUAUUGGGGCCCUCUACCUUUAUCAAAGAAGAAAGGAGAACUAUCAAUUCAAUUGAAGAGAGAAUACAGCUGCAACUAGCUAAGAAUUGAGGGCCAUUGGAUCAACUUUAUUGUACUCUAUACUCUAAAGACUACAAUAAUAGAAAUAGAUGGUGAGAUUGAUACCUUAAAAACCCCUCCACCAUUUGAUGGGCAGUUAGACCCACUUCACUCCACCAAUCAAUGAACAAGCAGUAUGAAUUUUCUUUUGUUUUUGUUUCAACUUUCUAAUUUUUCUUCCCAGACAUUCAAUUUUUCUGACAAUUUACUUUUCUACGUUGACAUUCAAUUCCAUUUCCAAUACGCAAAGUUGUCGUGACAAAUUGACACAAAAUAGAACUUACUAGAUCAAGAAAAUUUUCGUCAUAUAUUUUAUCAGUAUAGUUGAGAGAACUUUUAGCACCAUACCAAUGUGCAACUUUUUUCUUUUAACUACGAUAAAGUCAAUUGUAAUGUUUCUCUUUCUUUUUCCUUCUCGUUAGUUAUGAAUCACCUUGUUGUUGAGAGAGUUAAACAAUAAAAAAUUGUAACACGGUAAGUAAUCUAUUUUUCAAAAGACUAAACAUUCUCAUUUUCUAUUAAGUAAUCUAUUAAGUCGUGAUAAAAUCAGACAAAGAUAAAACUUACAAGGUUAGUAUGUAGUAACUACAGGAAAACUUACUUCUUUACAUUUACAUUGUGAUUUUCACGUCAUUUUAAAAUGUUUGUUUAUGAGGGAGGAGCUGUUGGAGCCACUCACUUUCAUGGGGAUGUUGACUUGAUGGAAAGGGUACUUUGUGAGCCUCGGUUGAAGUGUUUGUUAUUCAUUUAAAUAACAAGUGUGACAUUAUGACCUAUUCCACGUGCCAAAGAGUCAACAUUUUGCAGCUCAUGCAAUUCCCUCAACUGAAGACAAUUUGAAAUGGCAAUCCCUAAAUUUAUUACUAAAGGUCUGGAUCUUGAACUGCUCCAAUCUAGAGAGAAACUUCAAUAUUACUUAUAAAUACACAUUACCCUCAUCUAAAACCAGCAUAAAAAGCACACCCCAAAAGUCUUUUUUUCCUUUUUCCUUUUUCCUAUUUCCAAUUUAGUAUCUUUGAAGUUUGAGUAAUGGAGGAUUUCAGAUCCAAAUCUUGCAGAGAAGAGAGAAUGCAGAUUGAGCGUUACAAUGAGAAUAGGAUUGCCCCAACAAACAUGCAAGAUCUAAGGUCUUACAGUGUGAGCUAUGCAAGUUCUGUUCAGCAAAAUCAAUCAAACAAAGAGGUAAAGAUGAAGAAAGGCAAAAGCAAUAUGGGGUCAACCUCUAAAAGCUGGAGUUUUAAGGAUCCAGAAUUGCAAAGAAAGACGAGGGUCGCUGGAUAUAAGGUUUAUGCAGUGGAAGGGAAGAUGAAAGGGUCUUUGAGAAAGAGUUUUAGAUGGAUCAAGAACACUUACACUCAAGUAGUGUAUGGAUGGAGGUGAUGAUUUAUUAUAGAAAUUUGUUGUGUAAGUUUCUGUUUUGAAUCUUGAAUUUCCUGAAUAUUGUAAACUAUAUGAAUCUUGAUCUUCUUGUUCUUCAAGUUGGUGAGAAGAAAGAAAAAAGAAAAUGAAAGUUUGAGUUUUGAAUAUGCUUUUUGUUUUUUUUCUCAGAUUCCAUUGAGUUUAUCAUUGUAACUAUGUUAUCAGUAAGGUCGGUUUACUCUGUUUUUCCUUUUGAUAUCUAUAAAUCUCAAUAGACAGAACAAAAAAGGCCUUGAAAGUUGGGGCAUAGAAUGAGAGUUUGUAAUGAUCAAAACCAGUUUGAAUUGAGCGCCCUAAGUGGAUUUACUCUUUUCCACCGUUUUCAAGAUUCGCGAUUCAUGUUUCUGUUUGCCCUCGAUGUCAUGCUCAUUCCAACGCCAUUGACUUCUGUAAUUGUUUUCUGUUCAAAAUUUGAUGUAAAUGGGAAAAGUGAAAACUGGGCUCUGUUUGAAAUGAUAUUUUUCUUCACAAAAUCAAUGUUUUCUGAUCUUUUUCUGCAUAGUGAAAGAGAGAGAGAUGACAAAGAAGUUGCUUUCUCUCUCCUCUCCUUCUACCGACACCAAACAAGAAUGGAAGAGUAAGAAGGUGGAAUGAAUGAUUCAGUCAAGAAUUGGGAGACAGUUUCACAUGACAAUUAUUGUUCUCAUGUUCCAACCUAAUAAAUCAGGCAUUGAAAAUUAUUUAGGCUCUCGAGUCGGUGUAAAACAGAAUAAAUCUUCAGCUGCAGAUGAUGGGGAUGCCGCCUGUAUUAUCCCAAUCCGAAACUAGUUCACCGUUUUAAAGCUAAGUCAGAGCGAAAGAUCCGGCUGAAAUUAAUGAAACUAUGUAUAGUUUAUUAAUCAUAUGGAAUCAGGAUUGAGCCGAUCAAAUUUGACAGUAAAACAAAUGGUCAUAUCAUCAGUGAAUAGUGAAUGUUGAAUAUAUAGAAGAAAAUAUAAAUCAUAUAUAAAUUUCAGAUGAUUAGAGUGAAUGAAACAGAGUUGAAUGGGGUGACAUAGUCAGUGUUUUUGAAUCUCUGAAUAUGAAUAAAGGGGAUAUACAAACAAACAAAGUGGGGGAAAAGAAUGGGAACAGCAACAAGCUUUUAGGGUAUCAGCUAUUCUACAAGCUCUUAACAUUUCAAAUUCUUUUUUAAGUUAUGAUACAUACAUAAGCUCCGGAUUCACAUUCUUUCUUGUUAUAACCAAUGGGGGGGUGGCAAUAACCCAUUUUCCAUAACAGGAAAAAAAAAUUCAAAAUAAAAGAAAAAGAUUCAAAUGGGCCGGAAACUCUAGAAAAAAAAUUCCAAAAAUUUUGAAGAUUUAGGGUGGAGAUAUUUUCAUGAUAUAGCAGUAGUAGUAGCAUUCGGAGGCAUGCCAAGGGAAGAGUGCUUCUUUUGCAGCCUUCCUUUUAACUGUCUGAUCUUUGCUUCUACUCUGGCUGUGAAUCCUAUCUUUGUCUUUUGCCUUGCUUUUGAUCUUUCCCUGGUCCACAUGUGCGUAUCUUCAACAUCCUUUCUGUAGUACUUGAUUUCUUGGAUAAUGUGAUGAUCCAUUGGAUGGAAGCUUCUCUGGAAGGAUAUGUGAGCAAGAUACGGGAGAUUACAGGUAAUCGUUACUAAAAUUGUGGCUAUCCAAUAAACAGGGGCAGGUCCUAGAGCUUCGACAAAGAUUUUAUACGCAUUCCCAGAGGAUAUAAUCAUUCCAUAGAGUAAGAUGAACAAAUACCACAUCGCAAUGCUACCCCAGACGAGAAGGUGUUGGAUCCAGGUGAAAUGGCUCAUUGUGAGAGCAAUCUGGCAAUUUACUGCCCAUAUGAUGCAAGUAAACAUGGUGGUUCCUACAGCAGUCAUAUCUGCAGUUUGGCCGCCCGAACGGAAGGCCUGGUCAUAGAAGAUGAUGAGAUUGAGAAAGAAAGUAACUAGAGAUGAGUAGAGAGCAUUCCCCAUCCAUCCGAAAAUUCGAGGCCAGUCAAAGAACAAGUUUCGAGGUCCUUGCUGAUAUAGUGCAGGGAACUGCAAAAUGUACGAUGGUUGGUUAGCAUAUGAACUUGGAACACAAAUCAGUUCGCUUAUUUACAUUCAAUGCUGCCUGUCUUUACCUGUAGGCACACCUCAGAAGGGACAUCUUGCUCAAAUACACCAAGGGAAAUUACAGGCAAUGAGGUGAGUAUGACAUUAAAUGAUAGCAUGUAGAAAUCAUCAUAAAUUGAUUGCCCAGAAAAUCCAGCAUAUGCUUCGAAGUAGAAUAGCGUUAAUCCAAAUGCAAUAUUCUUAUAGAAGAAAUAGCAAAUCUGGAAAAUGAAAAUAACCAUUGUUAGAUCAAAGUUAAAUUAAGAACGUACUACUGAUAAUUCAUAACUGGUUCAUUGACCUUGGCUUCAUUGAAGCAAAAUUUGGCAAACAUGACAGAACAUAGAAACAUAGUCUAACUUUACCAUUUGUGCUAUCCUCUUGUAGCACCAAUGACCAUGGACUACCAGAAGCCUUUCAAGAAACCGAAAUUGAGCUAUAGAGAAAUCACUAGCCAUCACAGCCUGAAAGCAUAAGGGGUUAAAAAAGAGGGGUAGAGAUUUAUUUAAUAGACAAGGUUUAGAAAGGAGAGUCAUUUGUGCGUACCUGCAUACCUUCAACCCCACUGAUACCGACACCAAUAUCGGCCUCUUGAAUCAUUCCUACAUCGUUUGCACCAUCGCCAAUUGCUAAAGUAGUUUUCCCAGUACCUUCUUUCACUAACCUUGUUACCUACAGAAACGGAAGCAAAACCAGUUUACUACUAAAUCGUCCAUUCAAUGAACAGCUUGAGUAUGAUAUAUGAACAGUUGAUAGUAUACAAGGUGGUUAGCCCUAAAAUGAGAAUGGACGUCCUACCAGUGCCUUCUGCUUGGGGGAGACACGGCAGCAAAUGACCGAUGCACAAUCAACAGCGAGUCCAAGGAAUUGAAGCUUCAUAUCAUCCUCAAGGGCGUAUGUUAAAGUCUUCCCAUCAAUGAUUAAAGCAAAUGCAGCAUGUGGAUCAUUUUCCAGCUUGAUCAUUUGUGCGGCAUUGGUGAUUUGAUUCAAAAUAUUUUCUUUCAUGGCCUGGGGUGUAACAAAAAACAAAAAAUCCUAAUUCGUAUGAAAUCAAUUUCCUGUAGCUAGUUUCCUGUGCUCUCUCUCAAAGUAUCAAAUACCUCUUUCCCAUCCUGUGCUAAGGAGUCUGAGGUUGUUGAUAUGCAGAUCCGCUUCAUUCCCUGUCGUAGUAAACUGCAUGCAUAUCUGAAGACAGAAACAAUUUCUUUUAACACAGGAAUAUAUAUUUUUCAACAUGGCAUAUAAGCUGUAAGAAAUGGCUUCAAUCAAUUAGCAAGACCGACCCUAUGUUGAUAGCAGUUUCCAUCUUAUCUCCUGUCAGAACCCAGAUCUUAAGACCAGCUUGUGCAAGUUUGUCUAUACAUUGAGGCACCUAGAGCAACCAAAAACAUAAUACUAGGUUAAACAAAACAAACCAGAGUGAUAACAGACAAUAAUGGUUCUAGAUAAAUAGAUAUUAUUCUCACCCCAUUCUGUAACUUGUCCUCCACAGCAGUAGCACCAACAAGGAUUAAUUCUCGCUCCAUGAGAUCGGAUACUCGCUCAAGCAUUGCAUCUCUAUCUCCUCCGAUUGACGUCUUAGCCUUCUGAAACUCAUUGUUCCAAGCAUUAUAUUCAGCUUCCUCGAGCUUCCUAUAAGCAAGUGCCAGAGUUCGUAGCCCUGCUUCUCCAUAUUCAUUCAAAUGCCUUGUGGUUGCUUCCUCAUACAUUCUUCCAUUCUUUGAUAGUCGAUCAAAGAUGAUGCUGCAUGAUUGGAAUGCAAGAGAUUCAGAAUGAAGAAAAGUGUUUCUCGUCCAUAAAAAAGGAAAAAGAAAAGUGCAGUUUGUUAGCCAGUCUUCCAAAGACAACCUGGGCUUUUUCUCACACGCUAACUUGCAAGAAGUAGCUGAUAUCUCUAUAAAAUUCUAAAAAAUUAUCCGUACGAGCCUCUACUGAUGAGACUCACCUAUCGGCACCUUUGCAGAGAAGAAGAAUCUGGCCCUCCUCGUCCUUAAUAAUUACAGACAUUCUCUUUCUCUUGCUUGUGAAAUCCAAUAGAUUCAAAAUUUUGUAUUCCCUGUACAGAUUCCCAAGACACAUCAGCAAUGCAUGACACAGAAAAUUCAUGGAAAGAUAGACCUGAGCGACAUAAAGUUAAUCUUACCUUUCAACUACUUGGUCAGGUGAAGGAUACCUUUCACGGACAACCAAGGUUGACUGUGUUCUCUUACAAAAUUCAAAACCAAAUUCUCUAGCUGCAACAAGAAAAGCACCUUCAUCCGGGGACUCUGCCUCGUAUGUAUAAACGCCGGUCUCCUCAUUCAGUUCAGGAAUUGCAGUGUGACAAAUUGCUAAAAUUCGGAAGAACAAUAAAAGAACAUCAUGAUUAGGCUCAUUCAACCAGUUUCCACCAGUCAGGCGGCUGUCCUCAAAACUAAAAUACUUUAUGGCAGACUUCUGAUCCUUGCCAUCAGUUGAAGUAACAACAGUCUCCAGCUCAAUCUCAGAACCUAAUCUGCUAUGUGGCAUUGAAGACGGCUGGCUAUUCUUUUGUCCAUGGACAUCGGAAAAUUCUCCGUCCUGCUCCUCGAAGUCAUAUGCCAUCUGCCUUGCAGCUGCAAGUUCAACCUCACUAGAUUUAACACCAUAUGCAGUGCCAGCAAUGGAACAUUUCAGAUAGUCCAUUUGAUUGCAAGUCAAAGUGCCUGUUUUGUCAGAUAGGAUUGUGUCUACCUGACCCAAUUCCUCAUUCAAAUUGGAAGUUCUAGCUUGAGCUGGAUUGGCAGUCUCCUCACAAUACAUGUUAAUAUCUUGGUUAAUGAAGGAAGCUUGGAGAACCUUAACAACCUCGAUGGAAACAUAUAACGAGAUGGGUAUCAAAUAUCCAUAAAGUAUAAGAGCAGUGAUUAAAUGUAUGAGCCCUGAUAAGGUUGGCUUACGAGGGUUGUACAGUGGAUCAUGGUCAUCACCAGUAGUUCGUAAAUACCACCAGUCUGUCAUUUGGUACUUAGUUUUCACAGCAAAACCUAUUGAGCUUAUCGAUGAGAUCAAUAUAAGUAGAGUGAAAAGGAUGUAAAUAAUUUUGUCCAUUUUUCUCUCUAUUCUACUUCUUUUUGAAGGGGAUUUUGUAGCAUUCUGCAUGACUUUGCUAUCAUGUCCAGUAAAUAUCACCACCCCAUAGGCAUAAGCUGUAUUCCUCAAUUUUGAAUCUCUGAGGAGAAUCUGAUUAGGAUCAAGAGGAUAAACCUGCCGAUCAUACUCAAAGUUACCUACAAAGGUGUAAAGAUUUGGGUUUGGAUCUUCACAGUAAAUUUUUCCAGAAAAAUCUUUGAAAGUUGCAUCAUCAUCCAAUGGUAAGGUUACUUCCAAAGCUCUCUUUACUUUGAGAUUGGUUUCACCAUCCAAAUUCAUCGUUUCCACAUAACAUAUACCAUCCUCAUAGCACGACGACAAGAGGAGUAGAUCAGCUGGAAAGAACUGAUCCUUCUGUACUUUCACUAUAUCUCCUACUCGGAGCUUGUGCCAUGGUCUAUGGCCAAAAACACCUUCCCCUUUGUGGACACUCGCUUUCCUGAGGUUAACCUUCAUAUCCUGCACAAAUCGACGCCAGUCCUCAAGAGCUUCUUUAGCCAUACUGAGCCCAACAACAAAUACCAAAGGAGCAAUCAUGCUCACAGCAGAAAAUGGGGCAACUGGUGUGAGCGAUAACAACGCAGCCAAAAGAAAGUACAAAUUGGCAACUCUUCGGAAUUGCUCAAAGAGAGCCUUAGGCACAAAAGAAAGAACAUUAUACUUGGUCGUGGAUAUGUAAUUUGUGCAGUAUUUCAAUGGCUUUCUCUCAUGGGUUUGAGGCUGAUUACAACAUACAACUCGUGAAAAGCCAGGUCCUGUUAAAGGAUUUGAAUCGUCAACCUCCCGCGCGCUGUCUGCACGGAGGCAAGCAGCAAACGUAUAAAGAUGGCUUCGGCGGAUCCUCUGCCUUAUCCUUCCCCGUCUCAUUGACUCCAUCUUCAUCUUAAAAGGUGUAUGAUAAGGACACCAAUGUCAACACAAAAUCCUACCUGUUCUUACUGCAAUCUCUCCAUUUUCAUCCUAAUAACAACCAUACAAAUUAAUUAACAAAGAAAUCGUCCAGUUGGACAAUGACACAAAUCCACCCCCAGAAAACGAAUACCCAGACGGGUAAGCAUUCUAACAAACAUUUGAGCUGCAUUAAAAAAAUCCAUCUCACAACCAUCAAGGUAAAUCACGAAAAACCAAUACAAAUCAUGAGAAACUCUAAAAAAUUAAGCUAAUACCCUCGGAACAAAACCAAUUUAUUUUUCUUCUAAAACGAGAUUACACCCAGCAAUCCUACCCACACCACAAAAGGGAAAUAGAUCAAAAGAAGACGCAAAAACACAGCUCAACAAAUAGAAUUCACCUCAAAUCUCAAUCCCCAUUGAGGGAAAUCACGGCUCAAACAAAGAAAAAAGAAAGAGGGUAAAUCCAAUUAUUACUGAAAACCAAUAAUGUAGAGCUGAAACAUGAAUACAAUCAUCACCAAAACCAGAUUCCUAAGUCGAGAACACAAAAAAAAUCGAAAAGAAGAGAUUUUCAUGAAGAAUCAAGCCAAAAAAAAAAAACAGAAAAAAAAAAAGAAACCCAGAAAGCAAAAAAAAAAGAAGUAAGAGAAAUAUAAAGAAUGGUACCUGGGAGAAUCAGGAAAGAAAUCCAUCCAUAAGCAAUGGGUAAAAGAAAAGAAAAGAAAAGGAAUGAAGAAGGGAAGUUGCAGAUCAAGGAAGAAGAGGAAGAAUGAAGAAGGAAGAAGAAGAGAGAGAGAGAGAGAAAAUGGUGUUUAUUUAUUUGGUUAUGUAGAGAGAGGAAAUCUAGAGAAAGACAGAGAAACAGAGAAAAACAGGGUUUUAGGCCAAAAGAGAAAGAAAGAAGGAAAGAAAGAAAGAGAGAAAGAAAGAAAAACAAAAUGUCCUUUCUCUCUCUUUCUCUCUUUCUCUGUCUCUCUCUUCUUUUCUUAUUUUCUCUCCCUCUCUCUCCCUACCCUUCAAACUCAAAACCAAUGACACGAAAUUCCGGGCCCUCCCCUCUCUAUAUUUAUAUAUAUAUAUAUAUAUAUCGUUUAUUUACUCUUUUUUUUUUUUUCCUUUUCUUUUCUUUUAAAUUAAUUAUUUUUCUUUUAUGAAGAGAGAGAGAAGAAGAAUAGAAAUUACAAAAUUACAAAAUUACAAAAUUACAAGGUGGGUUUUGUUAAUAAAAAUGACCUGUCAAGUUUUUCAAAGUGGAAGAAAAGGCAACUCCCAACAGAGGGAAGAAUCAGUCUCUUCCCCUUCCCAUCCCCUUCGGGACCCACUUCUUCCUACGUGGCUUUUUUCUUUUUCUUCUUCUUCUUUUUCUUUUUUUUCUUUUUCUUCUCUUUUUUUUUUAAUCAUAUAAUUUAUAUAUAUAUAUAUUAUAUGUACAUGUGGAAGAAGUGGGGUGGGCCCACCUAAUCUUGGAAAACAUGGCAGUUAAACCAAACUUCCUUAAUUUUAGACUCAAUUGUAUUUCCCCUCAUUCUCUCUUAGAUAGUUUUCUUUUUUCUUUUUUCUUUUUUCUUUUUACAACAUUUAUUUUUAUACAUAAAUAUGUUUUUAUACUUAUAUCUAUCUAUUAUGUAUAUUCAAGUUGGAUUUAUAAUUUACAAAACUUUACCAUCUAUACUUAUUAGUUUUCAAAAAUUAUAUUUAGUUUCUUUAAUUCCCAUAUUUGUAGUUAAUUGUCUAUGACACUCGGAGCUUUAGCUAUCGAGUUUGUUGGUAAGAUUACGCUAUAGAUUUACUCAACUUCUAUAAGGAUGCAAACAAAGUGGGACAUGUCGUAGGGUUCGAAAUGAUCUCCUUGUCACCAUAUGAAAAUCAAGGGAUGGUUUUGAUUUUAAAAAAUAAUUUCAAGCAAAAUAUGAUGUAAAGUAAAUUAAUUUAAACUACAAAAUGUAAAGUAAAUUGAAGGUGCAACGAAUUGAUCGAUCGAGGAUUAAUUUAACAAGGUGUAUUUCAUAAAAAAGAUCAAAUUAUUUCUUAGUAUGGGUUGGGUAUACUGAAUUUAGGGUAAAGUUUGUCUAUCUUUUUAAUUAAAUAAAUGGUUGAAUUGACUACCAUUUAUUUCCACAAGUAAGAACAAAAGAAAAGUCCCUUUCUUUAUUGUGUUUAUUUGGGAUUUUGCUUAAAAGAAAAUCCAACAUCAUCAAGACUAUUUUAGUCCAAAAUAUCUUUUCUAUUGUUUUCUUAUGGCAUGUGUAUCAUUAUUUUUGGAUAAUUCUACUUUGAUAUUAUCUUAUUCAUAUAGUUCAUUUGUUCUAUAUAUAUAUUAAAUACCUCAUUUAAUUAUCAUAAUUAUUGAUUAUUUUCAUAUCUAAGUGUGAUAAUGAAAUUUGGUUUGAUUUUUACUAUAUCAAAUCAAACUAGUGAAAGAUUCAUUACCAUAGUAUUUUUUUACAUAGUUUAGGUUCACAUUUUUGCAUAUUAUGCAUUAGAUUUUUUAAACUAUUAUUUCAAUGUAUAGUAUGCAAUAUUCUAAACAAAAUAUAAAACUUUUAUUUCUAUGUUAUUUAUAGGUAGGUUGGAAAUUCUUCACCUAAUCAAUAAAAAAGGUAAGAAACAAUAUUUUUUUUUCAAAUUUUCAAAUUUAAUUUGAUCAAAUAACUUUAAGAUUUUCUUCAUUUUAUUUCUACAAAAUAUAUACAUAUAUUUGUGAGAUAUAUAUAAAUGAAACCCAACAAAAACAAAAUAGUCAUUUUCUGAAGUCAUUUGAAAAUUUUGAAUAUAUAGUUGAAUAGGACACAACAUAAAGUCAUCUCAACAUCAAAAUUCAUAUUUAACUUUGCUUCAACCUUACUUGUCUCAUUAUUUUGACAAUUCCAUUCAACUUAAUUUGUUAAAGCAAAAACCUCUAAAUGUGUUAGGUGAAAAUUUCCAUCUAGAUGUUUUUAUUUUAUUUAUUGCAAUCUUUUUUAUUAUAUAUAUAUAUAUAUAUAUAUAUAUUUAUAAAUUUUAGACACCCUAUUGGAUUGCCCAUAGAAAUGAAUGCCAUUUAGAAACCCCCAUGUCCUUCACAAUAACAUUUAUUCUCAAUUAUUUUUCCUUUUCUUGCCAACCAUAUCAUUUGACUUUCAAAUUCUUAAACUAUUUUAUUUAUAUUCAUAAAGUUUAGUGUAGUAAUGCUUCCAUAGUUUAAUUAAAAAAUAAAUAAAUUAAAGGAUGAUUUUCAAUAAGUUGAAAUUAAUUAGGUUAAGUAUCCACAUCUUCAUAUCCAACUAAGAAAGAAAGAGCUAAGUUGGAAUUUUAGUAAAAUAAAUAAAUAAAUAUAGUAUUUGAUACCUUACUUAUUACCUAAGUAUUAUUUUGCCUUUUAGACCAAUGAGCAACAUUUUCCCUUUCCCUCCUCUCAUAUACUUUCACAGUGAGAUUGAAAUCUAUACUUUUACUUUCAAUAAAUUUAAAUUUAGUUCACACCACUAUUUUAUUACUAUUAUUUUUUUAUUUUUUUAUUUUUUUAUUUUUUUUUAUUGUAGAACCAACUUGAAAUGAAAAAUGGGAUUUAAAUAUUAUGGUGAUAUUUGAAUUUAAUAUAAAGUAAAUAGAUAUGGGUAUUAAAGUUAGCAUAAAUGGAGGAUGACAUAUACAUUUAAUAAAGUCAUAUAUGAACUAUUAGUAAUGAUAGUUCCUUAUUCUGUGAUGCAGUGUUGAUUGGUUCAAACAAGUAGUGUGAAACAAAAAAAAUUAAUUCAUAAAAACAUCACAUCAUCUUUCCAUGAUUCAAUUUAAGUAAUGCUACCUAGUAAGAAGGACUCAAUACAAAUGUCUUUUAUACAUCAAUACUUUCACAAGUAAAAUGAAUACAUUUAAUAGUCUAAAUCAUUUAAAAUAAUUAUGAUUGCUUUGGAAACUUCAAACUUAUAAGUGAAUCCAUUUAUACUUUUAUCGAAAACCUCAAAUCUGGCGUAUGUAUAGGCUUUUUCCAAUAUCAAAUUAGUAUAUUACUAAUAGAUAAAGGUAAAUUUAAUAUAAUAUCUAAAAUUCUCUCUUAUAUAUAAUAUUGUAUGGACUUGAACUCAAAACACCCAAAACAAUACGUUUUUUUAAAUUACUAAUUCAAUCCAAAAGCUUAAACUUAUAGAUGAAAAAAAAAAAUGAAAUAUGAAAAUCCAACGGGUAAAAAUCAAUAUUAAAUGAAGAGAAAACAACGACAUAAACACUUGUUCUGGUACCAUCUUAAACUACCAAUUGAUCAAAGAAGACGUAACCUAUAUCUAACCAUUGUCAAGUAUUAAGCCGAAGGUAAAGAAUUCAAUCAUCUAUGAAGCUAAAAACACAAAUAUCAAAAUCAGAAGACUAAUUUAAGGUGAGAGAGGACUAAAUUAUAUGAGAUUAGUGGGAGGUGAGGUUAUCAAAUGGAUAGAGAUAGAUGAAUUGAAUAUGGAAAUUGGAACCUAGAAAGUGGAGCCCAGAACAUGAGUUCCCAAGAUUAAAAUUUUGGGGGAACGUGUUUCAGCUUUCAAUAUAGGUGGGUGGAAAAGGAAAAGGAAAAACAAAAUGAUAUGACUAAAUUACAAAAAUAAUAAUCAAAAUACUAAACUCAUGAAAUUAAAUACAAUAAAAUUAUUGACAUAUAUAAUCAAAAUCUCUCCAACUCAAUUAUUGGAAAGAUUGGUACAGAUGAGACUGAGCCAGAUGGAAUUAAAGGCAGCACGACAUGGAAAAAAUAAUAAUAAAGAAAAGAAAUGGAAGAAGGGCAAUUCUAAAGUCCAAAUGGCAUGGAAUGAAUUAAGUUAAUGGUGGAUGGUACAAGAGAAGAGAAGAGAAGAGAAGAGAUGAGUACUAUUAUUAAGAAAAUUUCCAAAGAAGGGAUUUGGGGAUUGGAACUUGGAAGGGCGGCAGAUAAAGAACAAGAGUGGACCAUAUUGCUUGGCGUUUUAUAGGAAAAUCUUGUCUUUAACCAUGUAAACCCCUGCUUUCAUGGUCUUCUCAGUCUCCCACGUGCCAUUUCUCCCUUGCAAACAUUUCUAAUUUCUAAACCCACACUAUUCCUAUAUAUAUAUAUAUAUAUAAGUAAUGUCGAGUAGAAUUUAAAAUAUGGAUAGAGGCAGGUUGGAUGCCUAUCAGGUAGGGCCGGUUAAUGGAAGAUAAGUUUAAAUAUGCUCGUAGACUUUUAAAAUGUUUCAUUUAAUUUAAAAGAAAAAUGAAAAUUUAUAUUCACAAGUGAAGAAGUGUCUUGACUAAUUAUAAUGGAUACUUCAUUUGAUCUUAAAAUACUUUAGUGUCAAAGAAACUGGUGAUAGCCACCAUGGAGGGGUAUGCAUAGUUGGAUUCUACAAUUUGUAGCAAAAAUACCUUUAGAAAGUUCUAUUUUUCUGUAAAAUAUAAUGAAAAUUGACUCCACCACUAAGGUGCAACAACUGGAAGGCAUGUGAGAAACUAUCGGGGUCAAAUUGAAAACUAAAGGUAUUUUUGUAGACAAUAUAAAAGGCAUUUAAUAAUAUAUUUGGUAAAAACAGAUCGCCCUUGGGACACGAGACAAGGUUACCAAAAUGGCAUUCAAAGAAUAUCGUUUAACAUUAAAGUACACCCCCCCCCCCCCCCCCCAAAAAAAAAAAAAAAAAAAAAGAAAGAGAGAAAAAGAGACAACGUGUGAAUGGCUAUGUCAUCGCUGAUUGCUCACAGAAUGGAUCAAGAAAAAGCCCAAUCAAUAAAGAUAGACAGAGACGGGGGAGUGGACCAAGAGGUCCAAUAUACAAGAAGCAAGAUGUUCAUAAAUUAGGUUGUGACCUAUGUCAAAUUUUCGGACAGCAAAACUGUUCGAUCUAAAUAAAUGCAAUUGGGAAAUGGAUUCGGGUUUAGACAGUUUGAGCUGUUGCCUUUUAGAAAACACAAAAAACUGUACACAAUCAAAUACUUCCAAGUCUUAUUUUGCUUAUUUGAUACAUCAAACUAUGAGUAUAUUAUUUACGAAGAAAUGAAUGGGGUAUGUUGGACUUGGGACUUGAGUUAUGUUUGGCUUUUCUAGGUUGUCGAUGUUUUCAAAUACAAAGAAAAGUGUAGGAAGAAGUUCAAAAUGCCCAUCUAAAUACAGCUAAGACCUCUAUAGGAGAAAAUUUAAGUUCUCAAGAUACAAAGGAUUCCCUUUAUCUUUCCCAAAUUUUCAAGAUACCAAGGAUUCAACCUCUACAUAAGAGAAAAAUAGAGUAAAAGAAUACGAGAGAUGGCAAUUACCAAGGCAAACUGAUUCACUUGCAUCCCUAAUGACAGCCUUCCCUUUUCAGAGUUUGAAACUGAUUAAUGUAACAGAGGCUCUAGAAAUGUUCCUUUUACGGAUAAACACAUUCAAGAGGCACUACUAAUUCCGUUUUGGAAGCCUUGAAAUGUGAGGCCUAAAAUUCGAGAUGACUCAAACAGUGAUGUUUAUGUUGCUGAGUGGCACCUUUCAUUACAAAUUCCUUUUUUCGCAAACAACACAUAAAUAUAGGCAUAUACUCACCAUAAAAAGAACCAAGUAUAAAAGGAAAACAAUCCAACAGAAGGUGAAGGAAAUGUGGGUUUUAUUGGUUAAUAUACAUAUAUAGUGGUACCCACACAAGUAAACAUGACCUUGAUAGUGUUUCUAUGAUUUUUAUUUUUUUUUACUGAAACAAACUUUUCAUUGAUAUAAUGAAAAGAGACUAUAGCUUAAGAUACAAAGUUCGGAAUGCAAAGAUACAAGAUGGUCUUUCUAUGCUGAUUACAUACUUUAAACAGAAUGCAAGACAGAUCAAACAUAGUCCAAUUUUCAUGUCAAUCUUCAAACAGUUAUUUUCCGGCUAAUGUUUUCAAAGAACAAGGUAGAUGACAUGGAGUUGCAUAAUAAAAAGAAACUAAGAAUCUAAAAAAGAAAGCAAACCUUAUUACAGCAUGGAGUCAACCUCUUCCUUGCUUUAAAGAAACUAAUGACUACCAGAAUCCUUCUUGGGAUGAAUUGCUCCUACGAGGGCCUCAACCUCUUCCUUGACUCUUCCAAACACUCCGGGGGCCUUUACUUCAUCAGCAGGCGUAGUCUCGUCAAUAUCAUCGCUUCUUCCAUGUGUUUCUUUGUGAUGCCGUGGGGAUUUAUUACAGUGGAUCACAGCCUCUAUCUCUUCUUUCGCUCUCUCAAAAAUAUUGGGCGAUUUUGGUUCUCUUUCUUCUCAUGGCACCCCAAGAGGGGAAAAAAAAAGAGAGAGAGACAUCAUGUCAGUCAGCCAAAAACCUCGAGCAAAAUCAAACUAUGAAUCUACAAAAGGAAUUGGAUCAACACCUUAACACACAUAAGUUCGAAAUUCAUACACUGAAAAUAAUUUGCUCUAGAAAACUUAAAGGAAAAGUAUCACUUCAGAAAUGACAACAGAUUCCUUUUGCACUAAACAUAAUGCACAUUAAAUCGGUCAAUCCUAAAUAUAUAAACCAGAUAAUGCUUUUAAAUCAAACAUUGCCUUACAAACAGCUAACCAAUCAACGCCAAUAAUUACUGCAAAUACGGACUAUCAAGUGUUUUCUAGCUCGAUUGCACGACAAUCACCAACAAGAAAUCACUGGAAAAGCUGAAAUACGUUAUCAACUAUAUGCCACUGGAUGAUCUUUACUUAAUGCAACGAUUUGAAGCUCAUUUUAUUCCAGAAACAGCAUAACAUCAGAGCAAUCAAAACAAUAGUGCCAAAAAUGAAGUUGAUGAGAACGAUAAAGAGAUUGAAAAUUUGGAAAUACCUGAAGAAGAGCCUUUGAUCUCAGUCUUCGACUCCUCCAUUUGAACUUUUCCGUGGGAUUGAUUAACCUGGUCUUACUCUUGUGCCCGUUCGCUGGGUGGGCUGGACUAUCGCUUUCCCCGUUUUCGAUGAGGCAAUAACGGGCGGUAGGGACGUAACGACAGUUCCAGCUGCGGGACGACUUGUCGUUUCGUUCUAUCUAUAUGUUAUAAAGCCCAAUUUGGGCCCAAUAUUUAACAUUUAGGACACUUACGGCCCAAAUCAAGGAAUGGGAAGCACCUUCCAAUUUAUUAUUAUUAUAUUUUUAACAAUUUUUCUUUAAUGACAAAAGGAGAACAUAAACGAAAGCUGAUCUCAAAAAAUAAAAGAAAGCCAUCGAUAAUGGACGUUUUUCGAACCAUCUUGUUUGAGAAACUAUCAUUUUAUAAGUAUUGAAAAGCAAACUCGUGAGUAUUUAAGUUAUAGUUGUAAUCGAUCUAAGUUUAUGAACUAAAUCAUAAUGUCGUGUUCAGAGGAGGAGGUCAAUAAAAGCUUGAGCUUUAGUAUCAUAUUUUACUUUUACUAUUAGAAGAUUUUUGAAUGUGGAUGAAAAUGGAAUAAUUUUCUACUAGAAAAGAAAAGAUAAUAUGCCUCAAGAUCUUUAGAAACAUCUUUAUGGAAAGUAAUUGUCUCACAAAGGUAUAGUUGAAUCCAUCAAUCUUGUAUAACUUUUCAAAGCUAACAUGAUAUGGGUAUUAGAAUCGUGAAUAACUAAAACUGCAUCGACGUUCACUUUGAAGGAGUGGAGAGAAAGAUGAGACCCACAAGUAACAUUUUGAAUUAAUUUGAAAGUAGUAUUUGGCGAAGUAGAAGAACUAUAAGGUAGCCAAAGAUUGAUAUGAGAUCCAAAUGUUCCACCGCUUUUAGAGCCUAUCAAAUAAGGUUUGUGUCUAUUUAGUUUCUUAAGAAAAAACAAAUAAUGAAUCCAUGUUUUUUUUUUAAUAUUUUGAAAAGUGUUUUAAUACAACUAUACAUUAAAAGUUUAUUGAUUGAUCAUAUAUAUAUCAAUUUUUUGCAUAGUUGAUUUAUGUGCAACAGACAAAAAUCCAAAAGUCAAGAAGAAAGUCAAAAACAAUUCAUCGUCAUUUUUUAGAGAAACUCAUGAUAUUUUCUAUCGUUCUUAUGAAAAUGUUUAGAAUGAAAUUUGAUCUAAUGACCUUUUUUUUUGGAUAAGUUAAUUAGAAUCUUUAAUAUUUUUUACGCAAUACAUGAAAGAUAAGAUUCAAAACUCUCACAUCGACUCGUAAUCACUAUUAGUUGUAAAUCACUUAAACUAUACUCGUUUUUUAAUUAGAAAGAACUCAAAAGUUAAGGUUAAUUGUGGACAAUGAAUACGGCGUCGUUUCAUCUUUUGAUUAGAUUAAGAAAAUUAAGCGCCGGAAGGCAUUUAAAAUCGAAUUAGUUAUUUAAAUUCCGUAGCCGUUACAUUCCACAUUGCAGCCUUUCGUUUUUCCCUUUUUCUCUUUUUCACUUUAGAGACUUUUCGAAUUUCAAAAUUUAAACGGCUCUUUCAAUGGGAGCCCAGCUUCCCUCUUCCAUUUAUUCAAUCUCCACCAACGCCAUUACUCAGUUUCUUCUUUCUUUUCUAGACUAGAUUCCUUCCAUUCACAAACUUCUAAAACCCUACAAAUCUGCACAUUCUUAUACAGACUGAUUCUAAUGGGUUCUUCCAGAAGCUGGCUAAAAUCUCUCAUCAGUCACAAAAAGUCUCAUCCAGUUACCGAGCAAGUAAGCCUUGCGUUUGCUUUGUUUGUCUGAAAAUUCUAUGCUCUGAUUUUCAUUUCGACGGAUAAUGACGUUUUUUGGGUGUGAUUCUGUAGGAGAAAGUUGGGGAUCGGAGCAAGAAGAAAUGGAGGUUAUGGAGGAGCUUGUCUGAUGGGUAUGGAUCUUCGGGUAAAAUUACGAAGAGGGGAUUUUCUGAAUCGACAGAAUCGCACGAUUCAAAGCUUUUGGCUAACGCUGUGGCUGCUGUGGCUCGAGCUCCGUUGAAGGAUUUCGUGGUUGUGAGGCAACAUUGGGCUGCCGUUCGAAUCCAGACGACUUUUCGUGGCUUUUUGGUAUAUAGUACUCUUACCCACUUCUCUAAAUCUGUAAGCAUGGAUUUGGAAAUCUGGAUUUUUAGGAUUCCUUCAUUUAUUGUGUGCAGUUUGUUUUAUUUUCUUCUCCUCUUCAUAAUGGGCACAUGGUUGACUCUAUAUUCUUCAUUUUCGUCAAUUGGACUUUGGGCUAGGAGAAGUGAUGCAAUCUUUCACUUAAACUUCACUAAUUGCCGCUAUUUUUGCUUUCAAUUACAUUUUCACUUUUCAGGGAAAUUGUUGGAAGACAGGUCUUCUCACAUACGUUAGAGACUUCUGUGUGAGCUAAUGAGUGUGCCUUUCCCCCCCAAGGAGGAUCUGCGCUUGGGACCUGGAUGUGAUACGAUUUGAGUAGAACUAUUCUGUGACUCUCCUUAGGAGUCGCCAUUUUUUGACCCACUAGUUAUUUCAUAAUUUACUACUCUUACACCAUGACUUAAGUUUUUGGAUUUAGUUGCGAUUAAGUGGAGUUGGUUACCAUGUGAUCUGGUCUGCCUAUAACUGUUGGAAAUGCCUUGAUUCCAGUAGGUUUGCAGGGAAAUUGUUGGAUUUUUUUUUUUCUGUAAUAAAACUGUUCUUCCUUCGUUGGUGUAGGUGUAGCUAACAUAUUGGUAGUAAACUACUGUCUCACCGCUUCCGAGAUGUGCAUUUUUUUCGAAGUGUUUUGAUAACAUUCUUUGGUUUGUGUUCUGCAGGCAAGACGGGCUCUGAGGGCAUUGAAGGCAGUGGUGAGGAUUCAGGCCAUAUUCCGGGGUCGGCAAGUGAGGAAGCAAGCGGCUGUGACACUGAGGUGUAUGCAGGCACUUCUCCGAGUUCAAGCCAGAGUUAGAGCGAGAUCAGUUACCGCAGAUGCUGACCAAGAAGAAGUUGAUCCAAUCAAACAGGCUGAGGCAAAUUUCUGAAACUAACAUGACUCCUGUUCCCGUUGUGAACUUCGAAUUCUAAAACAUUAUAAUGUUAUUGUCUUGCAGAAGGGAUGGUGUGACAGUCGGGGAACCGUGGAAGAAGUGAAAAACAAGCAUCAAAUGAGAAGAGAGGGAGCUGUCAAAAGGGAAAGAGCUCUUGCUUAUUCCAUCUUACAACAGGUAAGAAGAGUUGUCUAAAUAUACAUUUUAGUCGUUUAUUCUUUAAGAUGGCUUGAUUUAGUUCUCUAAAUUUCUUCCUAUUCAGAGAUCAAAAUCAUGUGCUAGUCCAAAUAGAGGCACGAGCAAACAAAUGCUCCACCAUAGGAAGUAUGACAAGAAUUACAAGCAACAGGAUUGGGGUUGGUUAGACCGGUGGAUGGCGGCCAAAUCAUGGGAAACUGGUUCAUUGGACACUGUACCACCGGAAAUGACACCGUUUUCUCGGAGAAGUGAAAACGUUUGCGGCUACUAUCCAGACAGUGUUAGAACCAGAAAGAAUAAUGUCACAACAAGAAUCUCGGCUCAACAACCCUCCUUUUCAUCCAAUCAAAUUUCUCGUACUCCAUCUUCCUCAGAGUCUGUAUACGACGAAUACUCUCCCUCCACAUCAUCCUCCUCCUCGGCACCAGUGGUAGCAACAGGUGAAGAGGAGGUGGGAAGCAAGCCAAGUUAUAUGUAUCCCACGGUGUCCAUCAAAGCAAAGCAGAGAACUUGCGGAGGAGGGGGCAAGAAUUUACCAAUCCCAGGCAGUGUGAGGACAACGCCAGUUGAAAAUCGAGAAACGAGCAACAGUACAUGCUCUGAAAAUUCAGGGAGGUUGUGUCGUGAUAUGUAUCAAGAAGUGCCAUUUGGGCGGCGAGAUUGGGUUAGAUGCUGAAACAAGCCACCGUCGGUUUGCUGCGAGUGUUUGUGAUCUGAAUUUUCCAUUUUUUUUCCCUUUCAGUUCAACAACUUGUUGUUCUUUUUUGUGUGGUUUUUGUGGGUGGUGUGGUGUGUUUGAUAUAUACAACAAACCUUGUGAUGGGUGACAAAGAGGAAGAUGUAUGUAAUAUUGAUACUCUAAAUACAAAAUACAAGCAUUCACAUUUUCUUUUUUCAAGUGUUUGCACAUUUUAAGCUACUUUUUAUUCAACCAUUAUAGGAACAACACAAUAUCAAUAUUUCAAAUACGUGUUCUUAAGAUAGUGUGUGCAUUUUCAAGGAGUCAAUGUUUGUAAAUUGUUUUGAAAAGAAGAAUGAUGAUACACACCACAUGUUUGUUAAGCUGUUUUUGUAAUUUUCCAACUUCUUUUAA